UUCAUCUUUUAGCUGACUAAUGACUCACAUUUUGGGCCAGUUCUUCACUCACAGUUUUGAACUUCCAUGCUGAUGACAUUUUAGCAUGUGUGUGUGGCAAUGUGGAGUGCCAAACAACAGCUAAUCUUCUCUGCUGCCGCUCAUAUUCACAUCAAUGACCCACCCAACGGAUUAUUUUUCAAGUCCUCGGUCUGAAAGUGGCCAGGGCCUACACACCCAGGAGAGCGGCGAUGCUGGCCUCUCCUCCAACAUGGAGCACACGUUCACUGAAAAUUACAGUGAAAGUGCUUUUCCUGUAGCAGAUAAAGGCAGCUUAGUGACACCCAUUCCUAAAGGGGAACUAGACGUCGUUGAGUGCCCUGUGAGUGUAGGAAAGAUCUGGUCACAACCAUCACUUUAUGGCCAUGCUGCUGCUCCAUAUGCAGACUCACACGUUGUGUCUGCUGAUGAGGGGUACAUAAAGACCUCCACUCUCACUGUGGUUCAAACCAACUACUUUCCACCACAAGCCACGCUGCCAGAGAAAAGUCUGGAAGAGGAAAGAGGGCAGCCAGAUGUAGAGGUCAUAGAAGAAGAUAGAUGCAUCACGGAAACCACGAUGAACACUGGAGGAAACCUAGCAAAACCUAAAGGUCCACCACUGGUUCCUGGAGAAGGAAGAAAGAGCAGUCCUCGCCGGAAAAGUGCUGCUAUCAAGAACCGUAAAUUCUACCUUCUAUGUUGGAUGGUAUGCAUACCUGUUCCUGCAUCUGAGGGCUUUCCUGUUUCUGCCAUAGAUGCUCAAUGUGCAGCAGACCAAACAUUUAAAUGUUAUACCUGCAUGGACAAGGUCAGAUGCCCAAAUUUGUUGGCGAUAUAUAACACCGAAGACACGAGUGUGUACCAUAGAGACCUGAAUGACACAUUUCCAGCGUGUUCUGAAAUCUCUCCACCUCCUCCUAUGAGCUGUGCUGUGUGUCGUAACCUAUCCAAGAUCCUUAUCAUCUGCUCAGAUGAUGUUGGAGCAUUGGAGGUGGAAGAUAGCGAUGGAGGACAGAACUUAAACAUCUCUUCAGUUGGUUGUGCCAGCAUGAAAGGUUUAGUUGCACAGCAGCAGACCCACGGCCGUGGACAUGUUGGAGUAUUUAUUAGUGGUAGUAUGUAUUUAACACAAGCACUGACUGUAAAUUUAAGUCUGGCCUUGAUGGACUGCAUUAUUUUUUAAAAAGCCAUAUUUUUUUCUUGACCCAACAUGACAGCCACAUGUUUUCAUUUUGCAGGCCUCUUUUUGAUUGUGGUGGCAGCGCUGGUGAUCAGUUGCUACCAGGAAAAACAGGAUUGAAAAUGGUCAACAGUGAAAAAGACUGCAUGAUCAAGAAGAAGACAGCAGAGGUCAUUCUCUCGCCGUGCCAUUUUAUUUCCUACGUAAUAAUCCCUAGCUUUAGCUGCCACAUACUGUAGACAGAGAAUACUUGUAAAGGGUAUUUUAUAAUUGUCUACUUUUUGGGACAACUGCUUAUUUAGACUGAUAACUGCAAGUCACAAUUAUUUCAAUUAUUGAUUAAUCUGCUUGUUAUUUUGUUGAUUGAUAAAUUAAUCUUUUGGUCUACCCCCCCCCCACCAAAAAAAAACAUAUACCGUCACAAUGCCUAAACUGAUGUCAUAAAAUUGCUUGUUUUGUCUGAUCAAUACUCAAAAGCCCAAAUAUAUAGAGUUUACUUUUACACAUACACAUGAAUGACUAAAGAAAGCAGCAAAUACUGGAAGUUGAAACUAUCGGGAACUUUGUCCUUUUUCUGUACAUUCAAAAUAACUGCAGAAUAAUUCUCUGUCUAUCAUGUUAUCGCUUAUUUGACUAAUCUGAUUCACCUCUGCUUAAUGAUUAUGUUGUUUGAAAUUAGUUAUCUUUCUGCAAAAAUGGCCUAAUGAAUAUGUAUACAUGCUGUCUUAAUAAAAAUGAUUUUAAACAA